ACUAAAAGUUAUAAAUUUGAUUUCGCUUCGUAUUACUGUUUUAUUUUCGCUCGACUUUACUUGUGCUUAGAUUUCGAUUUCGACUUCUGUUUGCAUUUCCCACAUUUGCCACAGGGUUUUCCAUGUAAAUAUGGGUAGUCUCUAACUCUAUUUGUUGCUGAUUGUUUUGGUUGCUACUUUGUUUCCAUUCCGCUAAUGAUGAUCAACAAUGAACAAGUGUAAUACUUAAUUGCAAAUCAAAACUGAACAUUGCCUCUGCUUGGCCGUCC
rnacentral:lncRNA from 1 species